CUUACCAAAUCUUGACAUCCUUUGACAACUCUAGAGAUAGAGCCUUCUUCGGGGGACAAAGUGACAGGUGGUGCAUGGUUGUCGUCAGCUCGUGUCGUGAGAUGUUGGGUUAAGUCCCGCAACGAGCGCAACCCUUAAGCUUAGUUGCCAUCAUUAAGUUGGGCACUCUAAGUUGACUGCCGGUGACAAACCGGAGGAAGGUGGGGA
rnacentral:rRNA from 1 species